rnacentral:rRNA from 1 species
UACGUAGGGUGCAAGCGUUAAUCGGAAUUACUGGGCGUAAAGCGUGCGCAGGCGGUUUUGUAAGCCUGUCGUGAAAUCCCCGGGCUUAACCUGGGAAUGGCGAUGGAGACUGCAAGGCUAGAGUUUGGCAGAGGGGGGUAGAAUUCCACGUGUAGCAGUGAAAUGCGUAGAUAUGUGGAGGAACACCGAUGGCGAAGGCAGCCCCCUGGGUCAAAACUGACGCUCAUGCACGAAAGCGUGGGGAGCAAACAGG